rnacentral:lncRNA from 1 species
CUCAAUUCUGUCUCAUCCAGAUCUUGCCAGGUCCCUUUUAUGUGUUGUCUUUCCUCAUUAGAAUGUACCUCCCUGAGACUAUCGAUCUUGUAUUUGUGUUCUCAGUCUAAGCACAUAGUAAGCUCUUAAUAAAUGCUUUAUCUUUCUAUCUACAAGGUAGUUUGGGAAGGAGGGCACUAGCAGUAGGAAGGAACUGGAAAAGUCUCCUGGAAGAAUUAAAUGUCUGAUCUACAUCUUAAAAGAAUAAAGGGACUCUAUGACAAGAUGAGAAGGCAUUCCAAAUCAGUGCAAAGACUGGGAGGUAGGAUAGGGAGCAUCAUGCAAGAGGAACAAGAGAUCAGUUUGGGGGAAUCCUAGAAUGCAAGAGAGGGAGUAAUAAUGUCCAAGGAGGCUAGAAAGACCGCGUGGGAAAAGGUUGCAUAGGGUUUUUAAAGCUAAAGCGAGAAAAUUUCUACAUUCUAGAGGCGAUAGGGAGCCCCUGGAGUUCUAGUUCUAGCUUUUAAUCUACUUAUAACAUGUAGUUUUAUGUUAUAUCCAGGGAGAAGGCAAAGGCUUUGAAUCCCGCCCCCACCCCAGGGCUCUCAAGUAUCUUAUUCAACUAGCCAACCUCAUCAUUUUGCACAGGAGGGAAUUAAGGCCCAGAGAGUGUAAGAGGCUGGCUAGGAACCACUAAAGGCGCACAACUGGGAUUCGAAUCCAGCUCUAGUGGCUCCAGAUCACCUUUGACACCGGCAUCACGAUGCUGUUUGAGGAGCUUAGUGAAAAAGGGGGAGAACCUGCGACUCCGGGGGCUGGAAGCCUCAAAGGGCAAGCUAAUGAGGAAUGAAAAGGCUGAGGAAAGGAGGACAAGGAAGUAUUCCCGGCGCCACCUUCUCUCUUCAGCCUUAAGUUUCGGGCCCCUCGGGCUCCCCUAGGCACCGGAUUUGUGGGACUGAGGAGGCCAAAGCAGGAACCCAGGGCCUGGGGUAGGGUGGGGGGUGUGGGGAGGCUCGCUACCUGUUGCCGAAGAUCCUGACUGCGGCGCUGCACGGUCUGCAGGGGCCCUCGGCCCCUCCCGCUCAGCAUGGCAGCUCCCACCCGGCGCCCGGGGGAACCCGGAGGCUUCUCCGCUCGUCGUCAAGGAGACCGACGUGGCGGCGGAGGCGACCGACAGUGACGCCAUCACUGCGCGGGCGCACACAGAGUCCCAGCCUGAAGAAAAGAUCUCGAAGAGGGAAAAAAAGGCUAAAGUCAGAAACUCAGCUCUGGCAGGGCUCAGUAACUUUCAGUGAGAGGACCGGGUGGUGU